CUGCUAUUUGCUGUAGGAAAUAUCACUGCUUUCUCAUUCCAAUUGCCAUUAGCAAUUGCAGCAGCUGCGGUACAGGACCCAGGGAUUUUCAGCUGAAGUCUAAAUGCAGUUGACAACUGUAUGAAUCUCAGAGCCAGGAUGCUUCAAGCACCAUAGAUCUAAAAAAGACAUUGAUUUGCUCUCCUCCAGCCUCUCUUAUCUCCUACUUAUGAAAAUAUCUGGUGAAUAGUACAUCAUCUGCUUGCUCCACAGCCUAAGUGCCUCAGAGCAGCCACUCAGGUUCAGCUAUGACAAAUACGUGGGGCGACUCUGAGGGAUAGUAACACGCAGGCGCCUUUAAGCAAAGUUCAAGCAGCUCCUAAAUUAACCGGAGCGAAUCCCCGAAGAUGCAGUAUUUAUGCACUGAAGCAGGAAGGGAGGGCUCUCAUCUCACCACUCUCAUCAGCCAUCACAGCCCAGGAAGCAAGAGAGAGAAAAUAAGAGUUAUUUACCUUUUGCUAAUUGGGAGCUGGGCAGCUCAGGAGUUGGAGGUGGCAGAAGGAAGGCGAUGGUUGGCCCAAAGGGGAGUUCAUUCACCCGGGUAAUGGGCUCUUGGCACAGCCACGGGCAAUACGGGAAAGCCACGCUCUGGGAUUGGAGAUAUUGUUAAAGUCGAAUUAAAGAUGGUAUUGAAGUCACUUUGGUGUGUUUUAUGAGAAAACCUGUGGGGUUCACAAAGGCACCGAGUGCCGAGGCUCGUCUCCCCCUCCCGCCCGAGGAAUUUCCACCACAGAAAUGCUCGGAUUUUUCCCUGUGGAAAUUCUCCAAAGGGAUCACAGCAAAGCUAAAAGAAAAGGCCAAAGGAGGGAAACCACUUCUCGUGGCAACUUUUGCAUUUGACAGUUCAAAGCAGGAGAGCAGCAGCAUUUGUCAGGAGCGCUGGGAGGGAAGCAGUAAUUGCCUGGAAGCAGCCACAGAUGCAGGGCUCACUCCAGCUGCUGCUGCAUCGCUAAGAGUCUCUUCCAAGGGAUGGAUGUUUGAAAGAUGUGAGGAACAUUGGGAAGACCAAGAGAACACUUCUGCAAUAAACCUCUUUUUGAGUCUGGGAUCAAUUGAAAUUAGGUAUUUCAUUCAUCACUGGAUCGUGUAGAAAGCCUGAGCUGAAUAAAACCUUCUGAAAGAAGAUGAGGAGACACACUCUGCCUUGUAGAUUAUUUUACAGCUGCUGAAGCCAUUUGUUUCCUCUGCCUGUUUUCCAAAAACUUGGAAAAUUAACCAUGUACCAGGAGGUGUAUCAUCUACUUUUUGCCAAAUCACAUGGAAAGAAAUUCCUUAUUAAGGGAGCCACCUAAGAAUAUUUACUUUAAGAAUAAAUUACUGGAUGAUUUGCUGGAGGAGCUCCAGCAAGGCAGGUUUGGGCUGGGGUCUGAGGGCUCUCAGGGCAGGUACAAAGCUGUGAGAGCCUUUUCAAAGCUGGGGUGGGGGAUCCAGGUUUUGCUUGUUGCUGGAAUUUGGGAGCAUCAGAGCAUUCGUGAAACUCCCCCACGCAUCCCCUUCCUGAGUCAUUCAAUCCCCCAAGCUACAGGUAUUUGUUAUCCAAACCCUACCCCAGCUGAGGUCUCCUGGGAGCCUCUGGCAAAGCUGCUGCCCAAAACAGUGUUUGUAAACCCAAGGAGAUAUUUGUGGGCACGGGAAGGCUGCCCAGACACGGCACCCAGCAGGAUCCUGCCUUCCACAGGGAUCCCUGCCUGCCCCUGCCCUGCCGAGCCAAGGGGGCCUUUGCAUGGAGGUACAAGAGGUAUAAGCAGAUAUGGGCACAGGUGUGGAUGGAGUAGUUGUGCAAAA